rnacentral:ncRNA from 1 species
UAUCUGGUUGAUCCUGCCAGUAGUCAUAUGCUUGUCUCAAAGAUUAAGCCAUGCAUGUCUAAGUAUAAGCAAUUUAUACAGUGAAACUGCGAAUGGCUCAUUAAAUCAGUUAUCGUUUAUUUGAUAGUUUCUUUACUACAUGGAAUACCUGUGGUAAUUCUAGAGCUAAUACAUGCUUAAAUCCCAACUUACGAAGGGAUGUAUUUAUUAGAUAAAAAUCAAUGUCUUCGGACUUCUGAUGAUUCAUAAUAAA